UAUUUAUUAAGUUUGCGCGAUAAACUUUUCUUAUGCUAAUUGAAUCCAAAUAAAAUAUGGUAUUUUGAGAAGCAGAAAUUGGAGAAACUUAACGGCAGAAGCCAAUGUGGGUGCAUUUGAAGAGGAGAGAGCAUAAGAUGUCUCCCACCGUUGAAAACGGGGGAGGAGGAGAAGGGGAUAUAGAGAGGGAGAGAUAGAGAAUAAAUAGCAGCUGAAUUCAGUUGGGUUUUGGGAGAGUUGAAAGGGUUACUUCAUUGCUCUCUUAUUUUCUUUUAGCAUUUAUAACUUCUCCUCCACUACUCUCUCUUCUUUCAUUCUCACCUACUCUCUCUCUCAACAAUUCUCAGUCAGACAGGACCAAAAAAAAAAGAAAAGAUAAGAGAGAGAGAGGAUAGAAUAUCCCUGAACUCUCGAUUCAUCUUCAUCAGCUGCAUAUCAAAAUGCUACUGCCCUCACUUUUCCCAGACAAUCUCUUGAUUUUUCUUUCAUUUUUUUGUUGCUAAUUCCUCCAAGGGGCAAAGGCCAAAGCUUUCUGCAAUAUGGGGAACCGUUUGAUUUGCAUGACUAAAAAGGAUGCCAAAGAUAAUCAUGGAUCGAGAAGCAAGAGGUUGGGUACGUCUCAGAGAAAAUCGUUGGCAGAGGAAGAGUUCCUCCAUAGGCAAGCUCUCUCUAUGGCACUUCAUCAACACCAAUUGUCUCAGAGAUUUGAUGGAUCCAUGUCCAGAAGGAUUGGCUCCAUCAGCUCUCGAAGACGAAAUCUAUCUGAUCCCUUCUCUAACGGAAAACAGGUUGCCACUCGGUCUUGAUUGAGACACCUUUAGCUUUCUUGAUCAUAUGCUAUUUUCUUUUUCCUUUUUUAAAUUAAAAUAGUUUUCUCCAUAACUAGAUCUGUAAUGGAAAGAUAUUAUGGACGUAAAUAAAAAAUUUAAAAGAAAAGUCUUUAAUAAUGCUUACAAGGAGCUUUUAGUUGCUAAUUUGUCAUGGUCAAGUCUCAAAAGUUAAAAACAACUUUAAAAAGCACAUGAAAGAAAGGAAAGCAUCUUCUUCUUCUUCUUCCCCUUUUUUAAUGGAAUACUUCAUGCGUUUUGAUUAAACAAAUAAAUAUAAGGAAAAAGCCUUCACAAGUGCUUAGGAAAAGCAUGGAAAAGUAAAUUCUCCGUGCAUUUAAAGAUGAGCCAAUCUUACUCUUUUUAUAUGUUGUUGGUGUUUCGUUAUUGGAGUUUCGUUAUUGGAGCAGACUACAUGUCCAAAUAAUGGCACUCUUUUAUCUCUUAUAAUCUUCCUGAUUACAACAGUUGCAUCCUGUUAAACCCCCAUUUUUAAAGCUAAUUACCGGGGUUAUUCAAGUUUAUAUUUUUAAUUGUAUACUUUCCAGGUGCCAGACUUUCUGGAGAAUUUCAAGUUAAAAAAGUUCAUUCUCAUACAUGGAGAAGGAUUUGGAGCUUGGUGUUGGUACAAAACUAUUGCUCUGUUGGAAGAAGCAGGAUUGCUUCCCACUGCCAUAGAUCUAAUAGGAUCUGGUAUUGAUCUGACGGAUACAGACAGUGUCGCAUCAUUGGCAGACUACUCAAAACCUUUAAUUGAUUAUUUGGAAAGCGUUCCUGAGGAUGAAAAGGUUAUUUUGAUUGGUCAUAGUACUGGAGGUGCAUGUGUCUCUUAUGCCCUGGAGCAUUUUCCACACAAGAUCUCAAAAGCUAUAUUUAUCUGUGCCACAAUGGUGUCUGAUGGUCAGAGGCCUUUCGAUGUGUUUGCUGAAGAGCUUGGAUCUGCUGAACGUUUCA
rnacentral:misc_RNA from 1 species